AUUGAACGCUGGCGGCAUGCCUUACACAUGUAAGUCGAACGGCAGCACGGGUGCUUGCGCCUGGUGGCGAGUGGCGAACGGGUGAGUAAUACAUCGGAACGUACCUUAUCGUGGGGGAUAACGCAGCGAAAGCUGUGCUAAUACCGCAUACGCCCUGAGGGGGAAAGCGGGGGAUCGCAAGACCUCGCGCGAUUAGAGCGGCCGAUGCCUGAUUAGCUUGUUGGUGGGGUAAAAGCCCACCAAGGCGACGAUCAGUAGCUGGUCUGAGAGGACGAUCAGCCACACUGGGACUGAGACACGGCCCAGACUCCUACGGGAGGCAGCAGUGGGGAAUUUUGGACAAUGGGGGCAACCCUGAUCCAGCAAUGCCGCGUGAGUGAAGAAGGCCUUCGGGUUGUAAAGCUCUUUUGUCAGGGAAGAAACACCGGCUCUAACACAGUCUGGGAAUGACGGUACCUGAAGAAUAAGCACCGGCUAACUACGUGCCAGCCGCCGCCGUAA
rnacentral:rRNA from 1 species